rnacentral:lncRNA from 1 species
UAGGCAUAAAAGAUGACAUUAUGCUUUCAACACCCGGUAAAACUUUAAUUUUAGAAGUUUUAGAUACAAUAGCAAUCAAUUAUCUUCCAGGGGGUUAACUGCAUAAUUCAAAAAAAAAAUUUCCAACCUCUCCGAAAGCCCAACACCGCCACCAAGGCUGCCCACUCAGCCGGUCAAGACACCGCCCGCGCCGCGGUGGGGGCGGCCACCACUCACCCCCGCUAGCGCGCGCCGCAGCGUAAGCCGCCUACCCCUAGGCGGUGCCCCGAUCCACGUCCCCACUAUCCAACAAAAAUAUGCCUCCUUUCCCCCACCUCCUCCUCACCCCAACCACCACCACCUCCUCCUCCAAACCCUCCUUCCUCAUGGCUUCCUCCUCCGCCGCCGACGCCGACGCCGACGCCUCCAAAGACCCGCCCUCCUCUCCCUCUCCUCCCCCCUCCCCCUCCGCCCCCACUCCCCCUCCGCCCCCGUCCUCUCCGCCGCCUCACCCUCCCCUUCCCCAUCCCCGGCCCGAUCCCCGUCCCACCUCCCUCGNN